rnacentral:rRNA from 1 species
CCUACGGGGGGCAGCAGUGGGGAAUAUUGCACAAUGGGCGCAAGCCUGAUGCAGCCAUGCCGCGUGUGUGAAGAAGGCCUUCGGGUUGUAAAGCACUUUCAGCGGGGAGGAAGGCGGUGAGGUUAAUAACCUCAUCGAUUGACGUUACCCGCAGAAGAAGCACCGGCUAACUCCGUGCCAGCAGCCGCGGUAAUACGGAGGGUGCAAGCGUUAAUCGGAAUUACCGGGCGUAAAGCGCACGCAGGCGGUCUGUCAAGUCGGAUGUGAAAUCCCCUGGCUCAACCUGGGAACUGCAUUCGAAACUGGCAGGCUAGAGUCUUGUAGAGGGGGGUAGAAUUCCAGGUGUAGCGGUGAAAUGCGUAGAGAUCUGGAGGAAUACCGGUGGCGAAGGCGGCCCCCUGGACAAAGACUGACGCUCAGGUGCGAAAGCGUGGGGAGCAAACAGGAUUAGAUACCCCGGUAGUC